UUCCCCAAAAUCCCCCAAAAACCUUCCUCGAAAUCCCCCAGAAAACUCCCAAAAUCCUCCAAAAUCCUUCCCCAAAAUCCCCCAAAUCCUUCCUCAAAAUACCCAAAAAAAACCUCCAAAAUCCUUCCCUAAAAUCCCCCCCAAAAAACCCCAAAAUCCCCCCAGAAAACUCAAAAUCCCUUCCUCAAAAUCCCCCCAAAAAUCCCAAAAUGCUUCCACAAAAUCCUCCAAAAUCCUUCCACCAAAAACUGGCCGGGAAUGUUGGGGGAGGGGUCCUGGGGGGAUUUGGGGGCUCCUGGAGGAAUCUGGGAAGGUUCUGGAAAGUUCCAGUGGAAUCUAUGAUGGUUCUGGAAGGUUCCAUGGGGAUCUGGGAAGGUUCUGGAAGGUUCCAGAGAUCAU
rnacentral:lncRNA from 1 species